ensembl:snoRNA SNORA70 Small nucleolar RNA SNORA70
UUGCAGCCAAUUAAGCCGACUGUGCUCUUUUCCCCAUGGGGGCCCAGUGUGCAAUGGCUGCCAACAGCAGCCUCCUUGGUAGUGUAUGCAACUUGUUGCCUGUACAGGUUGCCCUAAGGGACCUUGGAGACAACU